rnacentral:rRNA from 1 species
UACAGAGGUCCCAAGCGUUGUUCGGAUUUACUGGGCGUAAAGGGAGCGUAGGUGGCAUUCUAAGUCUGAUGUGAAAGCUCUGAGCUUAACUCAGAAAUGGCAUUAGAAACUAGUUUGCUAGAGGAUUGGAGGGGAGAUUGGAAUACUUGGUGUAGCAGUGAAAUGCAUAGAUAUCAAGUGGAACACCAGUGGCGAAGGCGAAUCUCUGGACAAUUCCUGACACUGAUGCUCGAAAGCUAGGGGAGCAAACGGG